rnacentral:rRNA from 1 species
UACAGGGGGGGCAAGCGUUGUUCGGAAUUACUGGGCGUAAAGGGCGCGUAGGCGGUACUUCAAGUCAGGCGUGAAAGCCCCGGGCUCAACCUGGGAACCGCGCUUGAGACUGGAGAACUAGAGUUCGGGAGAGGAUGGUGGAAUUCCCAGUGUAGAGGUGAAAUUCGUAGAUAUUGGGAAGAACACCAGUGGCGAAGGCGGCAUCCUGGACCAUGACUGACGCUGAGGAGCGAAAGCCAGGGGAGCAAACGGG